rnacentral:misc_RNA from 1 species
GAAAUGCGAUAAGUAGUGUGAAUUGCAGAAUUCAGUGAAUCAUCGAAUUUUUGAACGCACAUUGCGCCCCUUGGUAUUCCAUGGGGCAUGCCUGUUCGAGCGUCAUCUACACCCUCAAGCUCUGCUUGGUGUUGGGCGUCUGUCCCGCCUACGUGCGCGGACUCGCCCCAAAUUCAUUGGCAGCAGUCCUUGCCUCCUCUCGCGCAGCACAUUGCGCUUCUCGAGGUGCGCGACCCGCGUCCACGAAGCAACAUUACCGUCUUUGACCUCGGAUCAGGUAGGGAUACCCGCUGAACUUAAGC